CAACAUGCUAUACUUCAGACAUUAUCAUACUUACUCGACUUGUCCAAUUCUCUGGCAGCUUGGGCAGCACGUUCCAGACCCGUCGGAUCAAAAUUGGCCCACACAGGAGGCUUGCCCCCUUUGCCAUCUUUCCCCCCAUCACCAUCACUCCCUCCCCCUGUCUGAUCAUCACCACUAUCACUCCCGCCUGGGGGAGGGGGGUACUGAGGUGGGCCACCAGGGUAGGGUGGCUGCUUAUUCAUACCAAAUAACCAAGACAUUUUAAAAAAGAAAAAAAAAUUCGCCUGAUACAAAAAUGAUGAAAUAUUCUGUGGUUGAUAUUGCGCUUGACUAUAA
rnacentral:lncRNA from 1 species